AGGUGCCGCUGCGCUGAGCCCGCCCUUCGCAACCAAAGUGUGGAGGGGGCGCCAUGUUCAACCCAAGGCCGCCCAUAGGAGAGGCCUGGGGCACCUGUGUCUCUCUGUGGUCGGAGCAAAAGCACUGACCCCAAGGAGUCUGAAAGUCAUAUGGGCGCCUAUGGGCCUGGAACUUUGGCAGAGGAAGGAUGUUGCUGGUGUGCGCCCGCGUGUGUGUGUGUGUGUGUGUGUGUGUGUGUGCGCGCGUGCUGGCGGCGGUGCUUCUGAACCGGGCUGGGGCUGUGGGUCCUGCCAGCCCCUGGGAUGCAGACAGAGGUGAGGCAGGGCGUCCGGGCAUCCGCACCGGACAGGUCUGUGAUUUGCGCAGGGACCCACUGGGGCAGAUGUGGGAGACUGAGUUUUCCAGGAAGCAGGGAGGGCAUGGGCCAUGGUGAUUUUCCAGGUCAGGGACUCGAGCCCAGCAGGAGGAAAACCCAGAAUGCUGACUCCAAACUUCCCUUCCCCGUUCUUCAGCUAGACCCCCACUCAGCGCUGGUCGCGGCAUCAAGGGACAUCGGGGUUGUUUCCAGUUCUUCGCUAUGGUGAGAAACGUUGUUGUGAACAUCCUGGGGCUGCUAACAGAUUGUGCCUUUUUAAAAACAAGGACUCAAAACGUCUGGCCAAGAUGGAGGCGUAG